AAACAAGAUCAUUUGAAAAGUAGAUCACAAGCACUAUAAAUAGUCGAAAUUUGUGCAAGCACUGCAAAGCAAACAGAUAGGCAAACACAAAAUCUAAGAUGGUUUCUAUAGGAGAAGCUAAUCAGCCUCAUGCUGUUUGUAUUCCGGUUCCGGCACAAGGUCAUAUAAAGGCAAUGCUUCAAUUAUCAAAACUUCUCCACCAUAAAGGUUUUCGUAUAACCUAUGUCAACACCGAGUUCAAUCACAGGCGCUUUCUUAAAUCUCUAGCACCCGACUCCCUUGACGGCUUGCCUGAUGAUUUUCAGUUUGAAACUAUCCCAGAUGGCCUUCCGGAUAGAGAUGACGAUUCCACCCAAGACUUCAAUUUGCUUGCUGAUUCUGUCAAAAACAAUUUCUUGGCACCUUUUCUUGACCUCAUAAAGAAACUCAACCGUAGUACCCCUCCAGUUACUCUCAUUGUUUCAGAUGGUUUCAUGCAUUUCACAACCACUGCAGCUCAACAACUUGGCAUUCCCAUUACACUCUUCUUUACUUUUUCAGCAAGCAGCUCUAUGGGCUAUAUGAAAUAUCCUGCUUUGGUGGAAAGAGGACUUGCACCACUCAAAGAUGAGAGCAGUUUCACGAACGGCUUUUUAGACCAGAUAAUAGAUUGGAUUCCAGGAAUGAAACAUAUCCGUUUAAGGGAUCUCCCCAACAACUUUGUGACAACAAAUCCCAAUGACAAAAUUUUUAACAACAUCCUUGAAGUAAUGAGUAGAGUUCAUGAAGCUUCAGCAAUUAUUGUACAUACCUUUGAUGCACUGGAGCAAGAUGUUUUGGAUGCCCUCUCAAGUAUGUAUCCACCUGUUUACGCCAUUGGCCCUCUCCCGUUACUUCUCAAUCAGAUGCCACAACAUCCUUUGAAGUCCUUGGGAUACAGUCUGUGGAGAGAAGAAGCUGAGUGUCUCUCCUGGCUGGACGAUAAGAAGCCAAACUCAGUUGUUUAUGUGAAUUUCGGCAGCAUAACGGUCAUGACACCGGAACAACUUGUGGAGUUUGGUUGGGGACUUGCAAAGAGCAAGCUUACUUUCUUCUGGGUAAUUAGGCCUGACUUGGUAAUUGGUAAAUCAGCAAUUUUUCCAUCUGAGUUUGUGGAUGAAACUAAAGGAAGAAGUCUAAUAGCGAGUUGGUGCCCUCAAGAGCAAGUCCUUAACCACCCAUCAGUUGGAGGAUUUUUGACACACAGCGGUUGGAAUUCGACAAUGGAAAGUGUGUCUGCAGGAGUGCCCAUGUUGUGUUGGCCUUUCUUUGCUGAUCAGCAAACAAAUUGUCACUGUACUUGCAAAGAAUGGGGCAUUGGUACGGAGAUUGAUAAAAAUGUGAAGCGAGAUGAAGUGGAGAAGCUUGUUAGAGAGCUGAUGCAAGGAGAGAAGGGCAAGAGAAUGAAGCAUGAGGCCAUGGAGUGGAAGAAAUUGGCAGAGGAAGCCACUGGUCCACACGGUUCUUCAUCUGCAAACUUAGAAAAAUUAGUGAAUCAAUUUCAAUUGUAGGUAAAGUCUAGAUGUUCUGCACAACAACAACCAAAGAAACAUGCAUUGCAUUCCUAGUUGUUACUGGUUCGAUGAAUCGGCACCAUGUUUAGCCUGCCACCAUCUUCAAUUUUGUCUAGAUAUUAAUUUCGGGUUGAACAUUUUAAUGUUACAUUAUUUGCUA